UGAUGAUGAUGAUGAUGAUGAUGAUGAUGAUGAUGAUCAUGAUGAUGAUCAUGAUGAUGAUCAUGAUGAUGAUCAUGAUGAUGAUCAUGAUGAUGA